AUGGGCACUGGACAAUACCACAUAUUCUCAAGCAGUUCAUCACAUUCACUUCUUUGUGAUGAGCUUCAAAGACAGAGUCUGGAAACCAGUAGGAGAACAAUUUCAGGGGUCUUCAGGAAUAAUGGUGAACUAAGACGUGUUGUGAUGGAAGAUUCGAGAGAGAUUCCUAAGGAGACCUGCCAGGAGACUCUAACAGAUGCAUGCAUUGACUUCCUGAGGAUGCGGUAUUAUUUGUUCAUUGUCAGCGAGUGGAGACUCAGUAUAAGCUCACACAUGACCCGUGGAAGAAGAAAAGUGAAGUGAGGCUAUGUGGAUGCAUGUGGAACCGGCUUUGAGUUAUCCAGGUGGCAAAGGAAAGUCUACUAGACAGUGCAUCCAUGGAUCCAGGUUCAAAGAAGGAAGGUUUAUCAGAGAUACAGGUUUGGCUGCCUUUCAGCAUCAUAGCUCCAGGACUGAAUUUUUCCUGGAGGAACAUCUACCUCGUAACAGAACAUAAAACCGUGAGAGGCUGAAUUCCAACGUGUGCUGUUAGGAGGAAGAGGGGAGCAUAAAUGGUACCAAAUCCAAAAGAAUAGAGGUAGAAGACGUGACAGGAGAUGAAUAUCAUGCCGCUAAGGCAUCGCGGUGCUUGAGGAGAAGUUGGUUAGAGGACAAGCAGGCUGUAGGAAGGUCAAGACAUGGAAUGCUCUUUAGAUUGGGAGGUCCUCGGGGAGCUCCCUUAGGAGAGAUUGCGUGGUGUGCCUGUGGGGCAAUCGGGAUCGCAGCCAAGCAUGUUUGAAGUACAGAGCAAAAUGCAAUCCCUGUGCCCCCUAUUCGAUUAUAUGGAUGUUGACCCUGUUGUGUGCUUAUAGCAUUAGCGAUAAACACACAUCACUGAGAUCGAAAAGGCUUUCUCAGAACAACCAGAAACUGUACAAUCAGAAAGCUUCACAGUAUGGCAAAUGACCAGGACAGCGUGGUAUCAAAAGACGUUUACUCAAAAUCACGUGGUGCCGAUUACUUACGGACCAUGUGCAAUUGAUUAGAGCUCCAUUGUAGAAUAUGUAGACCAUGUGCUUAGUUAUUUCACCUACAGAAAUCAUGGGUCUUAUUAAUCAAGGAAGGUGUACUUCAUUCCAGCGAUAUACAAUAUAUAACAGGUCCUACUGGACGCAGUCAUCAAGUGAUUUUUACAUUCUAAUGUCUCCUUGUCUUAGAGCAAAAACAGUCAAAAUUCAGAUGUCCUGGAUCUUCCGAUUUGAUCCCUUUUUCUGACACGAAGCUAAUUUCCUCCCAAAUUACGGCAUUUUCUUUGGUGAAUUUG
rnacentral:lncRNA from 12 species